CAGGUCCCGGGUUCUAACGGGCUGCUACAGGUCCCGGGUUCUAACGGGUUCUGACCCGCUGCUACAGGUCCCGGGUUCUAACGGGUUCUGACCCGCUGCUACAGGUCCCGGGUUCUAACGGGCUGCUACAGGUCCCGGGUUCUAACGGGCUGCUACAGGUCCCGG